rnacentral:rRNA from 1 species
UACAGAGGUCCCAAGCGUUGUUCGGAUUCAUUGGGCGUAAAGGGUGUGUAGGUGGCGCCGUAAGUCGGGUGUGAAAUCUCGGGGCUUAACUCCGAAACUGCAUUCGAUACUGCGGUGCUUGAGGACUGGAGAGGAGACUGGAAUUCAUGGUGUAGCAGUGAAAUGCGUAGAGAUCAUGAGGAAGACCAGUGGCGAAGGCGGGUCUCUGGACAGUUCCUGACACUGAGGAACGAAAGCCAGGGGAGCAAACGGG